UACAGAGGUCCCAAGCGUUGUUCGGAUUCAUUGGGCGUAAAGGGUGCGUAGGUGGCGCCGUAAGUCGGGUGUGAAAUUUCGGAGCUUAACUCCGAAACUGCAUUCGAUACUGCGGUGCUUGAGGACUGGAGAGGAGACUGGAAUUCCUGGUGUAGCGGUGAAAUGCGCAGAUAUCAGGAAGAACACCUAUGGCGAAGGCAGCACUCUGGGACGGUACUGACGCUGAGACGCGAAAGCGUGGGGAGCGAACAGG
rnacentral:rRNA from 1 species